UAUCCCAAAGCCCCACCUGGGGGGCAGUUGUUCAAACAUUGCUUGUCCUGCCUGCUUCUUUUCCUCUAGACAUCAUAACCUUCAGCCUACUACUUCUUGUCAAGCUGCCAAGGUCAACAGUUGCCUGCUCUGCUGCUCAGGGGACCAUCCCUCUGCCUCUGAGAAACUGUCCUUGGGUUCCUAGCUGUGUUCCUUAAUGUAUGAAAAUUCGGAAGCGAAUAGGACUCCCAUUUAAUCAUGGCGACCCCUUCAGUGUUUCAUCCCCUUUCUCUCCUUGCGUCUCCUGAGAUUGGAGGCAUUCACCACUACAUCCAACCUCAGAGUUUGGUUUAGAAAACUCACCCAUGAUUGCUGACUUCACAGUGCUGAUCUUGUUUCCCAGACUGGUCUCUUAUCUUUGUUACAAUGUGCUCAUGAGAUAACACAGCGGCCAGACACAUUUCCCGAGGACAAGAGGCUGAUUCUGAUUUUAUUUGCCAUGCCAACUCCUCUUUCAGUGCCCGAUAUCAGGGACUGCAGAGACAUUUGCUCCACUCUAUUUUCUUUAUCUGUUCAGACUUCCUAGUUCACCUCUGCUAACAACACAUGCAUCCACCUUUCUUUUCUACAGAUUCAAAUGGUAUCUAUGUACCUAGAGCUCUUACAACUAGGAAUCCAACACUUUUCACUCUAUCAGAAUCAUUGUGAAUGAUUGUGAGGUCCACUUCACAGGCCACUGAAUGUACAAACGUGUAAGAGAGAAUAAUUCCGGUUGACACAAAGAUACAGAAGGAGUUUUAAGGACUGGGCACACAGGCAGAGUGAGAAGCACUCACUGUUUCCCCAUUUGCUGAACUGUAGAUGCCUGUCUCUCAUCCAGAGUAAAACCCAAGUCUUAACAUGGUUGUUAAGAAACACUCCCCUCCUGUAACUUUUGUCCCACCCGUCACUUCUCCCUGUGCAUGCCCGCCACUCCCUCUCUCUCCUGACACUCCUGCUCUGGUUCCCUCAUCUUGCUAUCUUAUUGCUUUCUUAUAUAUCAUGUAGUUUAUCUUUUAUUAUCCUGCUAUCUACCUCUCCUUACUAGAAUAUGGGCUUCUCGAAGCAGAGAUAAUUAUCCCCCUCCUACACUGGUUCCUGAUGCAUCCAAACACUUCAUACAAAUGCUUAGAAAAUGCUUAGAAUAUCCAUAAAUGGUACUGACCUUAGCAUCUACUUUAUCUCAACAAAAGAGCUAGAAAUCACUCCUAAUGAGUCACAACACAGACCUGACUAUAGGAUGACAUGAAUCAGCUCAGAUCCUCUCCUGAGCUUCUCAUACUCGAUUCUGGAAUAUUCCCGAAACUACUAUUCUAGAUUUGGCUUAUACACAUCUCAAUUCUGGUAAUGACUGCAUUACACCAUGAUCCAAAUAUUCUCCAGAGAGUUUUUGUUGUUGGUGGUGGUUUUUUGUUUGUUUGUUUGUUUGGUGUUUAUUUUGAGGGCUUUUGAAUUAUUCUGUGGUUGUUUUCUCUUCUUUGGCUUCUUCAGUGGCAAACAUUAAUGAUAAAGGAAAAGAUGAAUAAGUGCGCUUAUAUAAGCAGUGAAGUUUGAGGGGGAAAAAAAAGAAAGAAAAAAAGAAUACCACACAUAAGUCAAGGAAGGAUGAGCAAAGCAAGAGAAAAUAAUUACUAAUGCUUAGGACAUGAAGAACUAAUUAUUACUGACCUAGAGCAUAAAAGGCCAACAAAUCACAAAACAUGAGCAAAAGGAAGAAUCCAAGCUAUAGAUAGAUGCCCAGUCUCUCAAACAGAACAACAAAAUCAGUAACAAAAAAUAAGCACACGGGGAACCUCAUAUCCGUCCUUGGUAGCCAGAGAGUCUGCAGGCACAGGGAAGCCGACUUUCGUAGCUAUGUACUUUCCGUGGGAAUGUCUAUUGCGUAACCACCCUGAAAGCAGUUACAAGCACACAUACAAACGCACUCGUUCUAUAAGAUGAUUUUACCUGUUACAUUUUCUUUGAUAGACUCUAAGAAUUGUUUUUUUUUUUUUUAAUCACGUACAUGUAUCUUAUUGACAGGAAGACCCCCUAUUAAGACGCCAACAUUGACCUGCUGCAUCCCACGGUGUAAUUGUGGGAACCGGAUGAGGUCCCAAGAGAAUGUGUGUUGUUGAUAGGAGCAUGGCCAUAUCAAGGGUGCCGAGGGUUGGCACCAUGUGCAGUUAGUAUCAACUGCAGCUUCCUCCUCCCAGUAGCCCGAGACUACUCCCCUGCAGAGAGGCCCUGCCCAGGCUAGCCAGCCUCCUCAUUCAGGUCGAUACCAUAAACCCGCCUCCACACUCAGACACUCUGAGUUUCUGCACUGCUGGUGGGUUUCCGUCAGAGGGCAUGGCUCACUCCAUCGAGGCCUUUCUGUACAGGAGUCUGCCUUGCUUCAUUCCCUGAUGCUCCAGUCAGAUCAGUCUCAAAGCCGUGCAGGAUUUCAUAAGUGGUGCCUAAAUGGGAACCUUGACCACAGGGCACCCACAUCCGUCCGGCGAGGGGUGCUCUCAUGAGAAGGGCCCCAAUCCAGAAUCUUACUAAACUCCUGCUACAAAGGACUGGCCCUCUGCCCCCGAGAAAGCCACAGAUAGUGACAGCUGCAGCUCUUACAAUGCCACCAGGACCUGAGAGACAGAGAGGCGACUUUGAUUCACAUGUCAUCCCUGCCUGGACUUACCUGACACCUCAGACUGGUACUGAGGGAAGUGAGGAGAGGAUGGGGCUACCCAACCCACAGUGAUAUUGCAUCUUGGGUCUGGGCCACUGAGAGCUUUAAGGUGAUGUAAACUUAAUCCUCACUGCAACCUCGCUUAGGGGAAGACAGCUGGGGAAGACAUUAAUAUUUUUAACUGCC